UACAGAGGUCCCAAGCGUUGUUCGGAUUCACUGGGCGUAAAGGGUGCGUAGGUGGCGAAGUAAGUCGGAUGUGAAAUCUCCGAGCUCAACUCGGAAACUGCAUUGGAAACUACUUUGCUCGAGGAUUGGAGGGGGGACUGGAAUACUUGGUGUAGCAGUGAAAUGCGUAGAUAUCAAGUGGAACACCAGUGGCGAAGGCGAGUCCCUGGACAACUCCUGACACUGAGGCACGAAAGCUAGGGGAGCAAAC
rnacentral:rRNA from 1 species